AUCGAACGCUAGCGGGAUGCUUUACACAUGCAAGUCGAACGAGUGGCGGACGGGUGAGUAAUAUAUCGGAACGUGCCCCGUCGCGGGGGAUAACUACUCGAAAGAGUGGCUAAUACCGCAUACUAUUGGUGCGGCCGAUAUCGGAUUAGCUAGUUGGUGGGGUAAAGGCUCACAAAGGCAAAGAUACGUAGCUGGUUUGAGAGGACGACCAGCCAAACUGGGACUGGGACAGGGCCCGGACUCCAACGGAGGGAGGCGGGGGGGAAUUUUGGACAAGGGGGGAAGCCCGGAUCCGGCACGCCCGCGUGUAGGAGAGGCCCUUGGGGUUGUAAAGUACUUUUAGCAGGGCAGCGGUAUCGGAAGAGUAAGCCCCGGCUAACUACGUGCCAGCAGCCGCGGUAAUAC
rnacentral:rRNA from 1 species